UGCCCGAUAUUGCAAGAUGUAUUAUUAGCGCCUUCGAAUAACCAAUGACCAUCAUGUGCCCGUGGCGAUCGAUCCUUUGGACCGGAACGAGCUUACUCACCUAUAGGUGCUAAACGAGGAUCGCCAUAACCACAUAUAGACACGUGGUUACAACAAUAAUAGCACCGUGCGUGAGGUUUUCUGUCGUUUUUGCUGUAUUACAGUUUACGGGGCGUAUGUCUAUCUGCAUUGUUCAAACUUCUUUCUCUCUCUACUACCUUCUUCUAGGGCAAACACAAUGGACCUAAGACAUAGGCAAAGAAAGGUAUACACUUUGAAACUCAAAAUGAUAAUAAAAUAGCACAAUAGUUAUCCAUUCCACGAAGCCCGAGUUCCUUGCGCACUCACAUAAACACGACUGAGAAUUUGACAUUUCUCUCAUCUGUUGGAGCUUUUUUGAACAUUUUGUUAUGAGUCUAUAGAUUUCCUUUGUCUAUGCCUAAGGUCUCCGGGUGAAAAACUUCUUAAAUGUCGAUUCUUCGAUAUGUGGACGUUGAUCAGUUAUAUCAAAAUAUCGAAACAAUGUCAAAGAAUCACAGCGUUUUAAGACUUUCAUAGACGUCCAAGUACCAAAUGUUUUAUUUAACGUAAAAAAUAGAAAUUAAAAAAAAAAGUGGCACACAAUUCAAAAAAGCAAUGCCAUACUUUUGUAUAUUGUAUUGUAUUUUAAAAAAUAGUCGCAUACUUUUAAAAUUGUAAACCUACCAUUGGUAAAUUUCAAAAAGAGGCGCAAAAAGUGUCAUUCGUUGAAAAAGUAGUAUAAUUUUUCUAAAAAGCUGGCACAAAUUAGUGUCACACUAUUAAGGCGUAUAGUUCGGUGAAGCCGAACCGUUUAUAUCCUCCACUAUAUAAGUUUGACGAUUUCUCUCACUCUUAAUGCCAUGUAAUGAUUAUUGAAAGGCAUAACCGUACAUAAAAUGGAAAAUUUCAACCAAAAAUUAAGAAUUUAGUUUUCAGGACCUUAAGACUUACAGUUGGAAGUUGGAUUUAAAUCGAUAAAUGCAUUGGAAUGAGAAAAAUUGUAGCAGAUUAGGAAAAUAGCUUUUGACAGACGGACAGACGGAAAUGAAAUUUCUAAAUGAAUUAUUUUCGAUCAUAGUUGGCAAGAACGUAAAUUGCAAAUAUCCUCACGAAAAUUCCAUUACGGAACGGAGCAAACUUUUCACUAGUGAAAGGAUAACCAUCACUGAUUUUUUUUUGUGUUUUAAGAUAAUGGCAAACGAACUGACGCUCAAACUACUCAGAACGACCAACGUAAUGUAUACCGUGUUACUACAAUAUUUCGAUUAGCUGCAAACUAAAUGAUGAAAUUUAGCUCAAUAAAAAGGGAAUCCUUUGUGUAGCCGAGCCUGAACUGCAUGCUACUAAGCGACGCUUCUUCGUAGAAAAUUUCAAUUUGGAGAGGUUACGCCAGGAAUAGUGAAGGCAAUGCCAACUCCGAAUAAUAUUUAGAUGCUGGAGACAGAAUUAUAACAUACAGUCAAUCAAAUAAAUGUACGUACACAUGUGUCUAGCAAAUAAAAUGGAUAUAUUCCCCCUAUAGUA
rnacentral:sRNA from 1 species